rnacentral:rRNA from 1 species
UACGAAGGGGGCGAGCGUUGUUCGGAAUUACUGGGCGUAAAGGGCGCGUAGGCGGCGACCCAAGUCAGAUGUGAAAGUCCUGGGCUUAACCUGGGGACUGCAUUUGAUACUGGGUUGCUUGAAUUCGGGAGAGGGAUGCAGAAUUCCAGGUGUAGCGGUGAAAUGCGUAGAUAUCUGGAGGAAUACCGGUGGCGAAGGCGGCAUCCUGGACCGAGAUUGACACUGAUGAGCGAAAGCUAGGGGAGCAAACGGG